AUUGAACGCUGGCGGCAGGCUUAACACAUGCAAGUCGAGCGAGCGGCGGACGGGUGAGUAAUGUCUGGGAACCUGCCUGAUGGAGGGGGAUAACUACUGGAAAAGGUAGCUACUACCGCAUACCAUCAGAUGUGCCCAGCUGGGAUGAGCUAGUAGGUGGGGUAAUGGCGCACCUAGGUGACGAUCCCUAGCUGGUCUGAGAGGAUGCACAGCUACACUGGAACUGAGACACGGUCCAGACUCCUACGUGAGGCAGCAGUGGGGAAUAUUGCACAAUGGGCGCAAGCCUGAGACAGCCAUGCCGCGUGUGUGAAGAAGGCCUUCGGGUUGUAAAGCACUUUCAGCGAGGAGGCGUUACUCGCAGAAGAAGCACCGGCUAACUCCGUGCCAGCAGCCGCGGUAAUUC
rnacentral:rRNA from 1 species